rnacentral:rRNA from 1 species
GUGGGGAAUUUUGGACAAUGGGCGCAAGCCUGAUCCAGCAAUGCCGCGUGCAGGAAGAAGGCCUUCGGGUUGUAAACUGCUUUUGUACGGAACGAAACGGCUCUGGUUAAUACCUGGGGCUAAUGACGGUACCGUAAGAAUAAGCACCGGCUAACUACGUGCCAGCAGCCGCGGUAAUACGUAGGGUGCAAGCGUUAAUCGGAAUUACUGGGCGUAAAGCGUGCGCAGGCGGUUUUGUAAGACAGGCGUGAAAUCCCCGGGCUCAACCUGGGAAUGGCGCUUGUGACUGCAAGGCUGGAGUGCGGCAGAGGGGGAUGGAAUUCCGCGUGUAGCAGUGAAAUGCGUAGAUAUGCGGAGGAACACCGAUGGCGAAGGCAAUCCCCUGGGCCUGCACUGACGCUCAUGCACGAAAGCGUGGGGAGCAAACAGGAUUAGAAACCCUGGUAGUCC